rnacentral:rRNA from 1 species
AAUAUUGGACAAUGGGCGAAAGCCUGAUCCAGCCAUGCCGCGCGUGUGAAGAAGGUCGUCGGAUUGUAAGCACUUCUAGUUGGGAGGAAGGGCAGUAAGUUAAUACCUUGCUGUUUUGACGUUACUGACAGAAUAAGCACCGGCUAACUUCGUGCCAGUAGCCGCGGUAAUACGAAGGGUGCAAGUGUUAAUCGGAAUUACUGGGCGUAAAGGGCGCGUAGGUGGUUUGUUAAGUUGGAAGUGAAAGCCCCGGGCUCAACCUGGGAACUGCUUUCAAAACUGGCAAGCUAGAGUAUGGCAGAGGGUGGUGGAAUUUCCUGUGUAGCGGUGGAAUGCGUAGAUAUAGGAAGGAACACCAGUGGCGAAGGCGACUACCUGGACUGGUACUGACACUGAGGUGCGAAAGCGUGGGGAGCAAAC